UGCUGUAAGAGGCAUGCCAUUGAGA
rnacentral:piRNA from 1 species